UUUGGGCCUUAAUAUUUUGGGUUUAUGGAGGGAGAUUAAAAUAUUCACAAGGUGGGAAACCUAAUUAUGUUGUCUAUGUUUCUCGUCACAUAUAUUUUGUCUAAGUGUUUUAUAUCAUUCACUAACCUAAACUUCCUUCUCUCGUCUAAAGAUACACCACCGCCGAACUCAUUCGUUCCCUUUCUCAUCUCUUCUGUCCUCCAUCCUCCGCCGUUUAAGGUAAAGCUUCGCUGCAACACCCGACUUCCAGUCCUAGAACAACCGCCGGACCUCAUUUGUCUACUUUCUCGUCUCCUCCGUUCUCCAUCCUCCAUCUCCUCCGCCAUCUAAGAUGACACAACAACAGACAAAGCGACGUCGGACAAACAUGAGAGCAGAAUCAUCUCAUCAACAGCCCGCUUUCAGCCACUCUUGCCCGAUGAUAUGGCGAUGCUCAAGAAUGAUGUGAUGAUGCUCAAGGAUGACUUGCACAAGGUCAGCGAUUGGGCAGCGGCAAUGCAAGCUUCUCAAAAUGUGAUUCUAAGGUAUUGAUCCCCUAACUCACCAACCGAUCAGACCCACCACAACUCCUGUCACGGUUAGUCACUCAGUCCCGUGUCUGUCUCCUCUACAACCUCAUGACAAUAACGAAGAUUGAUAUGAUUAUGUUACUCAUGUCCAUGGCAACACAAGACUUAUGCUUCUGUGCUACAUCUCUUUAUUUUGGUGUGUUGUGUAUUAAGAACAUGACUGAUGUGUAUUUCAUUUUGUAUUUUGUUAUGUCGUUGACUAAGAACAUGACUUGUGUCUUUUUGUAAACCAAAAAUAUUUAGAUCAUAUUUAUGUUUGAUUAAAGUUUUAAUU